rnacentral:misc_RNA from 1 species
AAAAAAUAAUAAUAAUAAUAAUCUGCUUCCACACCGACCGAAUCUUCCAGACAUUUCUGAUUUGGAGAUGGUAUUAAAUUUCUAAUCAUUUGCGAUAUACUGCAGUAAAAAGCAAGCUUAAGAAACCUUUUGAGUUGAAAUUUAGUUUUUUUCUUUUUUGUUUUCUUUUUUUUAAAAAGAAAAACCACAAUCAUAUUGUGUUGCUAAAAACAUUUGCAAAAUGACUCUAUUGAAGCUCAUUCUCGCAUGAAAAAAUUAACCCACUCCCAAUUAUGACGAUAAACACAAAUUCAAAACCGUUCCGUUGCAGGUACUUGUAUCAUCUUAUGUAAUUUGCAGCAGCAAUCAAUCUCUAUGUUGCUCCUUGCCAACUGCAGCAGGAAUAGCUAUGAAGUCAACAAAAUGUGUUUUAAGAUGACUGGAGUAUCUUCUUGUAAUCCUGGAAAGUUCCAUGGAAAGGUGUCACUCUUCCUUGUGAAACCACCCAUAGCUCCUCUACGCUUCCAGAUAUUAGAUGCUCAUCGUGACUAACCAUGAGAAUCCCUCCUUGGAACAAGACAAGGCCUUGGAUUAGUGCCUCCACUGCGUCCAAAUCAAGAUGGUUGGAUGGCUCAUCCAACAAUAUUAUAUGUGGUUUCCUGAAAGUUAUCUUUGCAAAUGCAACCCUGCUUUUCUGACCACCAGAUAGUGUGUACAUUGGUUGAAGUGCCAGAUUUCCAGUUACCCCAAAAGAACCCAAGUGAGCACGAAGCUUUUGUUCAGGCACCCCUGGGAAGCAGCGCAUCAUAUAUAAAAGAGGAUUGGAAGACAGGUCAAGUCCAUCAACAUGGUGCUGACUAAACACGGCAAUUCGAACCUUCAAACAGGACAAUACAAGUAUCCAUCAGAUUCAUAUAUAGAAAGCAGACUUUAAGUCAUCAAUAGCACAAUAACUAGCAUAACACAAUUUUAAUAGAGAAAAUGGUUAAACAAAGAAAAAUUUUGAAAAUCUCCAUUCGACCAGCACCAAACAGUGUAAACAGGCUGCUUUUCUGUUUUCAAUUUCCCCCCUUGGAAAGAGACAAAUUUUACAGUUGAGACGUUAUCUGGUAGAACAACAAACACUUAUAGAUGUAUGAUGGAGGUUUUAUAAUUAAUUAUAAAUUGGUAUGCAAAAAGUGGAAUCAUAAGAAAAAAGCAAGACACCUUAGCAGAACGAAAGAUGGUGCCAGAGCUUGGUUGUAGUUCUCCAGCUAUUAAUUUAAGGAUCGUUGAUUUCCCAAUGCCAUUUGGCCCAACCAUUGCAAUGCGGCUGUCCAGAUCUAUCCCAAAAUUCAAGUUCUUAAAUAACAUGGGCCCCCCUGGAUAACCAAAUGAUGCAUCACUGAAACUUAUUAUAGGGGGACCUGGUCUAUCAUCUGGAGUAGGAAACUCAAAUUUGUAGUCUGGGUCAUUAACAAUUUCAUCUACAUGACCCAUUCGCUCCAAUGCCUUGAUUCGUGACUGGACAAGAGAUGCCCUCUUUGCAUUAUAACGAAAUUUGUCAAUAAAGGACUGCAUAUGGGCUCUUGAUCGUUCAUUUGCUUCAAAUGCUUUCUGUUGGUUCUUAAUUUGUUCCUCCCGUGUCUUCUCAAAUGUAUCAUAAUUACCUUUGUAAGCACUCAACUUUUGCGCAUGUAGAUGGAGAAUGUCUGUGACGACCGUGUUCAAGAAUUCUCUAGCAUGAGAAACAACUAUAAAUGUUUUUGGCCACUUCAUCAGGUAAGAUUCCAGCCAUAGGACAGCAUGAAGAUCAAGAUGGUUUGUAGGUUCAUCGAGUAGCAAUAAAUCAGGCUCUAUAAAAAGGGCACGAGCAAGAGCUAUUCUCAUUCGCCAUCCUCCAGAAAAAGUUUUGGUUGCCUUUUUCUGCAUUUCUGGAGAGAAACUGAGGCCCGCAAGAAUGGAAGCAGCACGUGCUUCUGCAGAGUAUGCGUCAAUAAACUCAAGCCUUUUGUAUAUUUCCUCAAGCCUUGGUGCAAUACCAUCUUUGUCAAUUGCCCCAUUGUGAUCCCCUUUGAGAUCUCCAUUUUCUCCCUCAAAUUCCAAUUCUCUCUGUUGUGCAAGUAGACGAGCUUCUUCUUGCAAAAGCUGGGUUCUCUCAAUAUCAGUGUUCAGAACACAUUGCAAGGCUGAUGUAUCAUCACCAACCACUUCUUGCUCAACAUGUAAGAUUUGGCAGUUUGCAGGAAUACCAUCAAUAGCAUGCAUAGCCAUGUGCCUGAGGAAAGUUGUUUUCCCAGUACCAUUUCUUCCAACAAGGCCAUAAUGCCUUCCAAAAGAAAGUGUGACUGAACCAUCAACAAUGAGAUCACGGCCACCCACUGAGAUACUGAAGUUCUCCAUAUGAAUAUCCUUGACGGUUGGUCCACUACCAAUAUCAUGAUUCACACAUACAACUGGCAUGCCAGCUCUAACUGCUUCCAUUUCUGCUAGAUGCAUUUGAUAUUGUGCCUCUCUUUGCCGCUCCUCCUUUCUCUUUCUCCUCUCUAGCUUUGCACGGUCACGCUCAGACAGAACAGGACCAUCCAUAACCUCAGGCUUCUUCACUGGAACCUCCUCAUCCAUUCCAUCAUUCAUUCUUAGGGGCGUCGUAAGGCUCCGUACAGUUGGUUUUGCUUUUACUAACCCAUGCUUUCCAAAUUUUUCAGAUAGCUUACAACAAACCAAACGGCAUUCAGAGAAGUCGGAGACGCAGCCGGCACCAACGAGGAGUUCACCUAUAGCUUCAAAGGCACCCUCACCUUCCUCGCCGAAAUCGAAAUCAUCAUCGGCGAGGACGUUGAUGAUGUAAUCGAUGAUUGGCUGAUCCACAUCCUGGACUCGGCGGCCGAGCACCUCGUGCACCGCUGAGCUGGCCACUUCAGUCAUGGCCGAAUACUCGAAUCAAAGAAGAAAAUGGUACUUAGGUUUUGCAAAGACGGAAAGCAGGUAAGGUUACAAAUACAGGAAGAGCUCAAUUGAGAGACAGAGGUACAGAGCUCCUCCGCUCAAUGAGUGCACGGCGUCGUAUAACAGAGACAAGGAGUGUCUGAUAAACCUGGGUAUACGAUAAGACUCACAAGACCCACCGGCCUUCUGAAAUAAAAG